UACGUAGGGUCCGAGCGUUGUCCGGAAUUACUGGGCGUAAAGAGCUCGUAGGCGGUUUGUCGCGUCGGCUGUGAAAGCCCGGAGCUCAACUCCGGGUCUGCAGUCGAUACGGGCAGACUUGAGUGUUGCAGGGGAGACUGGAAUUCCUGGUGUAGCGGUGAAAUGCGCAGAUAUCAGGAGGAACACCGGUGGCGAAGGCGGGUCUCUGGGCCGAUACUGACGCUGAGGAGCGAAAGCGUGGGGAGCGAACAGG
rnacentral:rRNA from 1 species